AACAAACUGCAUUAAUAUGGCUUACAAAAAUAUCUGCUGCAAAAAAAAAGGCGUGAAUGCUUUGUUAGCGGACAAUAUUGCAUGGUGUCAAGAUACAGUCAUUAUCUAAAGAAGCCUGAGGAUGGGUUUGAGCAUGCUCGGUCUAUUCCUGUUUGUAAAUCUUUUGUAGGAUGGGGUGGGUGAUACUAGCAAGACCAAUAUUUAUUGUCCGUCUAUAACUUUGAGGCGUCAGUGAACAGUAGUCACCCUAAACCAAAGCAAUCCUGUAUUGUUUUUAAACAGCGAAUUCUAGGAUAGAUUCACUUCAAAAUGGUAACUGUACAUACAUGUUAUAUUUCCACAAUGCUUACAAAGGAUCUGCCAUCUAAACUUGUUGGAUUAGCCCUGCUGCAAGGAAUAGAUAUGAAGAGCUGUAAAGGAUCUUUGUAAAUUUAAGAUCAUAGAAAGAUAUAUAUAGCGAUAUACUGCAUCUACGUGUGUACAUUGAUAUGUAGGCUAAAUAUACACCAUGCAUUAAUCCACUUUUUAUUCUUCCUGUAGCCUUGUUAACUGCCCCCAGAUUCAACCACAAGCCUGCACAUAGAGGCAAAAUGCAGUGUCCAGUUAGCCUAUCAACCUGCUUGCCUUCGGGAUCUGGGAGAGAAACCCAUGUGAUCUCAAGCAGAAUGUGUGCGCCCCACAUAGAGAUCACCUGAGGAAGAAUAUUAAGCAACACAAUGAAGAUCACUGGGAUCACUACUGAGAGAUAGUCCCAUCAUAGCCGACCCUGUCUGCAUUUAUCAUCUCAUGGUUUCUCCCAAUCAUAUCUCUCUUCAGACCACCCCAUUCUCUAAUUUGUUACUGCAACUGGUCCACCAAUGCUGUGUGGAACACCUCUGCUGGGUCACAGAAUGAAGACUUCUUCAUUUGUCGGAAGUGGAAGACAUGAUAAGCCGUUCACCUUGCUGUGUUGUUUAGUAUCCUUAAACUCCAUGUCGUAAGAGUGAGCUUCUGGGAAAAGUGCCCAAUGUUGUAACCAGGUAGCAGUCAUCACGGGGAUUUCCUUCCUGUGAUUGAAAAUGGACACAAGGUCUGUCACUCGAGUAAACUUUUGACCGUAGAGGUAGGUAUGGAACUUCUCUUUCCCCCAUACUAGACCAAGGGCCUCUCGGUCAGUCUGUGCAUAGUUGCAUUCUGCGUUCGUCAGAGAUCUCGAAGCAAAUGCAAUCAGACAUUCAGAUCCAUCUUCCAUAGUGUGUGACAGAAUGGCUCCAAUGCCAUAAGAGGACGCAUCGCAUGCCAGUCUGAUGGA